rnacentral:rRNA from 1 species
AUUGAACGCUGGCGGCAGGCCUAACACAUGCAAGUCGAACGAGUGGCGGACGGGUGAGUAACACGUGGGUGACCUGCCCUGCACUUCGGGAUAAGCCUGGGAAACUGGGUCUAAUCCCGGAUAGUGUGGGAUGGGCCCGCGGCCUAUGCGCUUGUUGGUGGGGUAAUGGCUACCAAGGCGCGACGGGUAGCCGGCCUGAGAGGGUGGACGGCCACAUUGGGACUGAGACACGGCCCAGACUCCUACGGGAGGCAGCAGUGGGGAAUAUUGCACAAUGGGCGGAAGCCUGAUGCAGCGACGCCGCGUGUAUGAAGAAGGCCUUCGGGUUGUAAAGUACUUUCAGCGAGGAGGCGUUACUCGCAGAAGAAGCACCGGCUAACUCCGUGCCAGCAGCCGCGGUAAUAC